rnacentral:rRNA from 1 species
AACGAACGCUGGCGGCAUGCCUAACACAUGCAAGUCGAACGAGAUCUUCGGGUCUAGUGGCGCACGGGUGCGUAACGCGUGGGAGUCUGCCCUUUGGUUCGGAAUAACAGUUGGAAACGACUGCUAAUACCGGAUGAUGACGAAAGUCCAAAGAUUUAUCGCCAGAGGAUGAGCCCGCGUAGGAUUAGCUAGUUGGUGUGGUAAAGGCGCACCAAGGCGACGAUCCUUAGCUGGUCUGAGAGGAUGAUCAGCCACACUGGGACUGAGACACGGCCCAGACUCCUACGGGAGGCAGCAGUGGGGAAUAUUGGACAACGGGCGAAAGCCUGAUCCAGCAAUGCCGCGUGAGUGAUGAAGGCCUUAGGGUUGUAAAGCUCUUUUACCCGGGAUGAUAAUGACAGUACCGGGAGAAUAAGCUCCGGCUAACUCCGUGCCAGCCGCCGCAGUAA